rfam:Oceanobacillus picturae, S1, WGS project CCAX01000000 data, contig: 000002
AGUGCAUAAGGUUGUCAUGGGUGGUGGCUCGCUCCCUUUUAGAAAGGGGGUGAUGCCAAUGGCAGUAUUUGAGGCAAUUGUUCUGAUGAUUUCUUUUGGAACGUUAAUCGUUGCUAUCCUGUCGUUUAACAAUAAAAAAUAACCACCCUACGCGCCUGACAGCUAAGUAGGUGGUUAUUUUAUCAACCAAUUAGCGAGUCGCCCCUUUGAAGGGCUACUGCACUGAUACCGUUAGUGUUACAGCAUUAACG